GAUGGGAUUAAUGCAUUUGCUUACUCAGGCAGAGGACAGAAAGACCAUUGCAAGUGUUCAUCAGCAUUUUCCUGCUCUUAGAUAGAAAGGGCCAAGGCCACCCCAAGCAUGCUGAAAUUAAUGGGCCAUUGUCAGGAAGGAGUUUACAACUGCAUAUGGAGCCAGGCUCUGAUAUGGUUUGGCUCAGUGUCGUCACCCAGAUGUCAUCUUGAAUUGUAAUCCCCACAUGUCGAGAGAGAGAGGUGAUUGGAUCAAGGAGGUGGUUUCCCCUCUGCUGUUCUUGUGACGAACAAAUGGAGAGACCUCGUUUAGUCGAUUGAUGGUAGCAACAAGGAAGACGGCAAAUGGAGAAAUGACAUCUCAUGACCCAGGUGGAUCAGCAUCUGCAGUUUAACAAGCUCCCGAGGGGUGAGUGCACAUGAAGGAUUGAGAAGUAUUGCUCCAAAUAACCAGACC